rnacentral:tRNA from 1 species
GCGGGUGUGGUGGAAUGGUAGACGCGGCAGACUCAAACUCUGCUUCCGAAAGGAGUGCCGGUUCGAGUCCGGCCACCCGCACCA